GAUGAAGAACGUAGCGAAAUGCGAUACUUGGUGUGAAUUGCAGAAUCCCGUGAACCAUCGAGUCUUUGAACGCAAGUUGCGCCCGAAGCCAUUAGGCCGAGGGCACGCCUGCCUGGGCGUCACACGUCGUUGCCCCCCCAUCUACUCCUUCGGGAUUGCGGGGGGCGGAUGAUGGCCUCCCGUGCGCCUCGUCGCGCGGUUGGCAUAAAUGCCAAGUCCUCGGCGACGCACGCCACGACAAUCGGUGGUUGCGAAACCUCGGUUGCCCGUCGUGUGCGGUCGUCGCGCAUCGAGGGCUCGAAAAAAUUGCCGGGCUCCGGCUCGGCUUUCAACGCGACCCCACGUCAGGCGGGGUUACCCGCUGAAUUUAAGCAUAUCAAUAAGCGGAGGA
rnacentral:misc_RNA from 1 species